ACCCAGGACUGGCCAGCAUCUAUUACCUCUUCACCCACUCAGUCUCAUCCUUUCCUGUUACCAGCAGCACCAGCUAUUCAGUCUGUCUCAGCAAGCUCCACUUUACAAGCUCCACUAAGACCAUGAGAUGGGUGUGCUAAUUCCUGAGAGCAUCAUUGUCCUUGCCAGAUUUGAAGUUCAUCUGCUGUGAUCACCAAGGCUGCUUAGCGUCUCUGAAAACCCUCAGUCUUCCUGAAUCUUGACUUUCUACUGUGUUAAGUAAAACUUAUUUCUGUGAGAAUGAAUAACAGUCCCAGCAAGUUCAACCUUGCUGUACUUCUCAAAAUAUUUUUCCUCCCGUGCUAAGCUUAGGUGCUCUAAAAUAGUUUUUAUUUCACCCUCCUUAGAACACUAAAAUGUGCAUUUUGGAGCUCAGAAGGACAUACAAGGAGAUCAAGUUCAUUUACUAGUACCAUUUUUACCUUUCAGUGACAUUAUGGACAGCAAAUAGAAAACCUAUCAAUAUCCCUGAACCUAAAAUGGAGUUCUCAUAUUAUUACUCCUAAUUGCAUUAAUUAGACUCCUCCAAUACCAAGGGCUCACCUGCUUUAACAGACAGAUCAGAUGAAAGCUGGAAGGGAGAGUGAAACUGGUCACAAAGCAGAUUAAUGAUAAAAGCAGCAUUCCUGACUUCCACUCCAAUAGUAUGGCCCCUGGAGAAUUUCUUACCUUGCAAGACCAAACGCCUGUGCUUAUGAUAGCUCCUGCUUUAAUGAUACAAAAGUUUCACUCAGGCUUGACCUAUACUGGGGUUAACAAAGAAAACAAAGGUAUAAAUUAAUCAGGAAAAAAUGGAGUUUCAAACUGUCUAAGGAUCAUCUGUGGCUACUGCUGAGUUUCUCUGCCCUGUAUGCCCAUUCAAGUCAUCCCAGUUAGUUAGGGUGGCAGAAUCAGAUCCAGGAACAUUUAGCCUUAUGCCAGACAAUAACUUACUUCCUGGGCAUGUGUCAUCUCUAACCAGAUGCACUUUAAAAUAGAGCAGUCCCUUAGUCUACAAAAAAGGGAUUGUUUUGGGUUUUUUUCUUUUUUUCCUUUUCUUAUGUGAAUAAAAAAAAAUAAUUGAAAACCA